rnacentral:rRNA from 1 species
GGCCGAUAUCAGAUUAGGUAGUUGGUGGGGUAAGAGCCUACCAAGCCGACGAUCUGUAGCUGGUCUGAGAGGACGACCAGCCACACUGGAACUGAGACACGGUCCAGACUCCUACGGGAGGCAGCAGUGGGGAAUUUUGGACAAUGGGCGCAAGCCUGAUCCAGCAAUGCCGCGUGCAGGAUGAAGGCCUUCGGGUUGUAAACCUGCUUUUGUACGGAACGAAAAGGCUCUGGUUAAUACCUGGGGCACAUGACGGUACCGUAAGAAUAAGCACCGGCUAACUACGUGCCAGCAGCCGCGGUAAUACGUAGGGUGCGAGCGUUAAUCGGAAUUACUGGGCGUAAAGCGUGCGCAGGCGGUAAUGCAAGACAGAUGUGAAAUCCCCGGGCUUAACCUGGGAACUGCAUUUGUGACUGCAUUGCUGGAGUGCGGCAGAGGGGGAUGGAAUUCCGCGUGUAGCAGUGAAAUGCGUAGAUAUGCGGAGGAACACCGAUGGCGAAGGCAAUCCCCUGGGCCUGCACUGACGCUCAUGCCACGAAAGCGUGGGGAGCCAAACAGGAUUAGAUACCCUGUGUAGUCCACGCCCUAAACGAUGUCA